UUUCUACUCCCUCUGUCCGAAAAUACUUGUCAUGAAAAUGGAUAAAAAGAGAUGUAUCUAAAACUAAAAUACGUCUAGAUACAUUUCCUUUUAUCCAUUUUGAUGACAAGUAUUUCUGGACGGAGGGAGUAUUUG
rnacentral:pre_miRNA from 1 species